rnacentral:tRNA from 1 species
GCAGUGGUGGUUCAGGGGUAGAAUUCUUGCCUUCCAUGCCAGAGACCUGGAUUCAAAUCCUUGCCAAUGUA